rnacentral:rRNA from 1 species
UACGUAGGGUGCGAGCGUUGUCCGGAAUUACUGGGCGUAAAGAGCUCGUAGGUGGUUUGUCGCGUUGUUCGUGAAAACUCACAGCUUAACUGUGGGCGUGCGGGCGAUACGGGCAGACUGGAGUACUGCAGGGGAGACUGGAAUUCCUGGUGUAGCGGUGGAAUGCGCAGAUAUCAGGAGGAACACCGGUGGCGAAGGCGGGUCUCUGGGCAUCUCCUGACGCUGAGGCGCGAAAGCGUGGGGAGCGAACAGG